rnacentral:rRNA from 1 species
UGAGGAAUAUUGGGCAAUGCCCGAAAGGGUGACCCAGCAACGCCGCGUGGAGGAUGAAGGUCGUAAGAUUGUAAACUCCUGUUAGAGGGGAAGAAUAACUAAGUUUGGAGCUUAGUAUGACUGUACCCUCAGAGAAAGCCCCGGCUAACUACGUGCCAGCAGCCGCGGUAAUACGUAGGGUGCGAGCGUUAAUCGGAAUUACUGGGCGUAAAGCGUGCGCAGGCGGUUUUGUAAGACAGAGGUGAAAUCCCCGGGCUCAACCCGGGAACUGCCUUUGNGACUGCAAGGCUGGAGGGCGGCAGAGGGGGAUGGAAUUCCGCGUGUAGCAGUGAAAUGCGUAGAUAUGCGGAGGAACACCGAUGGCGAAGGCAAUCCCCUGGGCCUGCACUGACGCUCAUGCACGAAAGCGUGGGGAGCAAACA